CUGGUCUCAAACUCUUGAUCUCAUGAUCCACCUGCCCAAAGUGCUGGAAUUGCAGGGGUGAGCCACCGUCCCCAGCUAUGCCUGCUAUUUUCUAGGGCUUAUUGAAAGGUUAGAAAGGAUCUUGGCAGUCUUUCACUUCCAUAUAUUUCACUUCCAAUAUCACCUGACACGUGAUGAUGUAUUCUCUAAUGCGUCUGCUUUUUUUUGUGUAUGUGUGACCUCAGUUUUUUCCGAUUUACCACAGCUGCCGGGUAGAGGUACUGACGGUGUCUGUGAUUAAGCAUCAUACCUAUUACAGCAUCUACCAAUGAGAGUAUUAAGACCAAAUGAAUUCUCCCACUAGAUUGAUUACACAGGAGGUAAAUUCUGAGAAUUAUUUGCGAAGCAAAAAGAAGCUUUUGAAAACAGGAACCUGGGAAUCCAAGCAGUGGGUGUUUUGAGGAUGAUCCAGAUACACUUAGGAGUAUUCAGAUCCUGAAACUCCAUGACAUGAAGGGAAAAGUUGAGAGAAAACAAUCCCCCGGGAGGAGGAAAGCGGCCAAGAGAAAAUGGAACAGCUGAGAAAGAAUGGAAAUGAUUCUAAUGCUCCACGACACAGAGCCAAGUGGGAGGGAAGCCAGGGUAAAUGAUCCGAGCCCGUCUACGAAACAGCCCGCCUCAGCUUGCGCGCUGGGUGCUUACUCAGUGAAGCAAUAACAACUCUGUCGUGGCUGACACAGCUGGAGCUUCUCCACGUCAGUCAGCUGCAGGAAACCAGCCUAUGUCCAUUGUGCAAGGGGUCUGAACACUAGAGACACAGGCAUACAAGACUGUGUCUCUACUCCACUUCUCCUUGGUUGUUAUGGGAAGUGAGUGUCUCAAGUUAAAUAAACUAGACUCUGGGGAACUAUACAGUAAAGACUUAGUGAUCGGCACAGCUUGGCAUUUAUGGUGAUUAAAGAUACAAACAUAUUACAACUUCA